GUGUGUGUGUGUGUGUGUGUGUAUUUAGCAGUGUGUGUGUGUGUGUGUACUCGGCAGUCUGUGUGUGUAUUCAGCAGACUGUACUCAGCAGUCUGUGUGUGUAUUCACACAGACAGACUGCUAAAUACACACAGACAGACUG